GAUGAAGAACGCAGCGAAAUGCGAUAAGUAGUGUGAAUUGCAGAAUUCAGUGAAUCAUCGAAUCUUUGAACGCACAUUGCGCCCUUUGGUAUUCCAAAGGGCAUGCCUGUUCGAGCGUCAUUUGUACCCUCAAGCUUUGCUUGGUGUUGGGCGUCUUGUCUCUAGCUUUGCUGGAGACUCGCCUUAAAGUAAUUGGCAUCCGGCCUACUGGUUUCGGAGCGCAGCACAAGUCGCACUCUCUAUCAGCAAAGGUCUAGCAUCCAUUAAGCCUUUUUUUCAACUUUUGACCUCGGAUCAGGUAGGGAUACCCGCUGAACUUAAGCAUAUCAAUAAGCGGAGGA
rnacentral:misc_RNA from 1 species